UGUCCACCUUGUUAAACACUUAUCAUUAUUAUUAAAAUUUCAGAUUUGUUGAGAGCAGAAUUUUCUUUGAGUUUUCUCCAAGAUUUCUCUCUUGAGUUUUCUUUAGAAGUUGUUUUAACAAUCUUGUGAUUGUGGGAGCCAUCUUCAACCUUCUUCUUGCCAUUGAUAUUCUUUGGAGGGGAGAUUAGAGCCGUUUGAAGGGAGUUGUGAGAUCUUUCGAUAUUUCAAGGCUUCUUAGGACUUAUCUUUUAAUUUCUUACUGUCAAUUCUUUCUUUAUUUCUACUUGUGCUGAAUCAUUAUCUA
rnacentral:lncRNA from 1 species